rnacentral:lncRNA from 1 species
AAAUUUUUGAAAAAAAUGGGGCGGGUGGGAGGAUUUUAUUUUUUAAAUUUUAUUUCAUAUGAAACCCUUUUGCAUGUUUUUGUGACGAGUUCUUCAUAUUUGCAAGUGUAAUAAUAAGCUUAUAUCAUGUAUUGUUAAGGCCGUACAGUGACCUAUAGUUGUUAAUGUCUGUGUCAUUUUGGUCUUUUGUGGAUAGUUGUCUCAUUGGCAAUCAUACCACAUCUUCUUUUUUAUAUACACAAGUAUGAGGAAUCUUACAUAAUUUUUCAAAUCCUUAAAUAAAUAUAUCUAAUUGCGGCUUUAAAAACUUAACAACAAAAACGUGUGAGAAAUACUCUCUUCAGUUAGACUACCUACACCAAA